UGAGGCCAUACCCGAAUCAAAUUUAAUGUUCAAUUAAGUGUAGUAUAAUAUUAGGCAGUGACUCCUAGGUCGUCUCUCAAGGACCAAAUAUGGUUCAAGAAUUAGAUAAAACACAUGGUGGUGGGCUGAUUUUUGGAGAGUUUUGUGAAUGGAAAUGAACCAAAUUAAACACGAAUGCAAACACAAAUUUAAAAUGGUUGAUCACUAGCUCAG
rnacentral:lncRNA from 1 species